GAUGAGAAAACGGAGAGACUCAGAGGGAUUAAAUACCUUGCCCAAGAGCGUGCAGUCAGCAAGAAGCAGAGCCAGUCUCACAUAGCCAAGCCUGGCGCUAUGCACUCUGCCAUCACGUGGUAGAUGCUUAGUGAACAUGUGAACAUGAGUAAAUGGAUGGAUGCAGAGGUAGAAGGACGAAGUCAGUGCGUAGCCAGUAAGGAUCUAUGGGGCUCUGACGGCUUUGUGAAGACUGGCCCUGGGUUCUCAUUACGUUGAGUGAAAGCAGUUGGACACACUGCAUGAGUCCAUUUAUAUAUAAUUACAGAAGAGGGUGUCGUCCUCAUGUGCAUGGUUGCAGCUGGUCACCACUUCCACAGUGCAGCCUAUGUGAGUGUGGGAAGAGAGAAAGUCCAGGACAAGUGAAUUCCUUUUAAGCAGGCAAGGGAAACAAAAGCAAAAAUGAAAACAUGGGACUACAUCAAACUAAAAAGCUGUGUACAGCAAAGAACACCAUCAACAAAACAAAAAGGCAUCCUACGGAAUGGGAGAAUAUAUUUGUAAAUGACAUAUCCAACAAGGGGUUAACAUCCAAAAUAUAUAAAGAACUCACACACCUCAACACCCAAAAAGCAAAUAACCCGAUUAAAAAAUGGGCAGAGGAUAUGAAGAGACACUUCUCCAAAGAAGAAAUUCAGAUGGCCAACAGGCACAUGAAAAGAUGCUCCAUGUCACUACUCAUCAGGGAAAUGCAAAUUAAAACCACAGUGAGAUAUCACCUCACACCAGUAAGGAUGGCCAGCAUUGAAACGACUAACAGCAAAUGCUGGUGAGAAUGCAGAGAAAGGGGAACCCUCCUACACUGCUGCUGGGAAUUUAAGCUAAUUCAACCAUGUGGAAAGCAAUAUGGAGGUUCCUUAAAAAACUAAAAAUAGAAAUACCAUUUGACCCAGAAUCCCACUCCUUUGAAUUUACCCAAAGAAUACAAAUUCUCAGAUUAAAAAAGACAUAUGUACCCCUAUGUUUAUAGCAGCACUAUUUACAACAGCCAAGAUAUGGAAGCAACCUAAGUGUCCAUCAGUAGAUGAAUGGAUAAAGAAGAGGAGGUACAUAUACACAAUGGAAUACUACUCAGCCAUAAGAAAGAAAGAAAUCCUAUUAUUUGCAUGAACAUGGAUGGAGCUGGAGGAUAUUAUGCUCAGUGAAAUAAACCAGGCAGAGAAAGACAAGUGCCAAAUGAUUUCCCUCAUUUGUGGAUUAUAACACCAAAGCAAAACUGAAGGAACAAAACAGCAGCAGACUCAGAGACUCCAAGAAGGGACUAGUGGUUACCAAA